rnacentral:rRNA from 1 species
GAUGAACGCUGGCGGCGUGCCUAAUACAUGCAAGUCGAGCGAAUGGAUUAAGAGCUUGCUCUUAUGAAGUUAGCGGCGGACGGGUGAGUAACACGUGGGUAACCUGCCCAUAAGACUGGGAUAACUCCGGGAAACCGGGGCUAAUACCGGAUAACAUUUUGAACCGCAUGGUUCGAAAUUGAAAGGCGGCUUCGGCUGUCACUUAUGGAUGGACCCGCGUCGCAUUAGCUAGUUGGUGAGGUAACGGCUCACCGAGGCAACGAUGCGUAGCCGACCUGAGAGGGUGAUCGGCCACACUGGGACGGAGACACGGCCCAGACUCCUACGGGAGGCAGCAGUAGGGAAUCUUCCGCAAUGGACGAAAGUCUGACGGAGCAACGCCGCGUGAGUGAUGAAGGCUUUCGGGUCGUAAAACUCUGUUGCUAGGGAAGAACAAGUGCUAGUUGAAUAAGCUGGCACCUUGACGGUACCUAACCAGAAAGCCACGGCUAACUACGUGCCAGCCGCCGCAGUAA